UACAGAGACUGCAAGCGUUAUUCGGAUUCACUGGGCGUAAAGGGUGCGCAGGCGGUUGGGCGUGUCAGAUGUGAAAUCCCGAGGCUCAACCUCGGAACUGCGUCUGAAACUACUCGACUAGAGUACUGGAGAGGGAAACGGAAUUCACGGUGUAGCAGUGAAAUGCGUAGAUAUCGUGAGGAACACCAGAGGCGAAGGCGGUUUCCUGGACAGUUACUGACGCUCAGGCACGAAAGCAUGGGGAGCAAAAGGG
rnacentral:rRNA from 1 species